UGGGGAAUAUUGGACAAUGGGCGCAAGCCUGAUCCAGCCAUGCCGCGUGAGUGACGAAGGCCUUAGGGUUGUAAAACUCUUUCGUCGGGGACGAUAAUGACGGUACCCGAAGAAGAAGCUCUGGCUAACUUCGUGCCAGCAGCCGCGGUAAUACGAAGGGAGCUAGCGUUGUUCGGAAUCACUGGGCGUAAAGCGCACGUAGGCGGAUAGUUAAGUCAGGGGUGAAAUCCUGGGGCUCAACCCCAGAACUGCCUUUGAUACUGGCUGUCUCGAGGUCGAGAGAGGUUGGUGGAAUUCCUAGUGUAGAGGUGAAAUUCGUAGAUAUUAGGAAGAACACCAGUGGCGAAGGCGGCCAACUGGCUCGAUACUGACGCUGAGGUGCGAAAGCGUGGGGAGCAAACAGGAUUAGAUACCCAAGUAGUCCCUGAGCGGGCUGGCAAGGCGCAU
rnacentral:rRNA from 1 species